GCCCGAGCCCCUACCUCCCUGGAUCCCGGUGUCACUCCACCACCACCUCCUACAUCCCACAGCAGCGGCCGCCCAUGCCGCCUGUGCGUGCCUCCGUCCUCCUCCAGGCGCUGGCAGCGCGCCCCGCCCCACGCCGCCUGCCACAUGCGCACCUGCCCCAAACCGCCGGCUCGUCGGCUUUCCAGGCUGCCGCUGGCUUGUUCUUCCUCUGGCCACCACAAGCUCGCCGGCCGUUCAUCUUCGCAACUUACUGAAGCUUGUUCUAUUCUGCUUGUUUUUAGAGGAAAAGAGAUGGUUCUUCACUGUCUUGCUCGUGUAUGCCAAUGAUGUGACGCGGUUCAGCUACUUGUGCAUUUGCACUAAUGAUAAUUCAGCCGUGUUUGCUUGUCUAUGUGGCCAUGGAUGCACCCAGCGAAGGACAAC